CCUACGGGAGGCAGCAGUGGGGAAUAUUGCGCAAUGGGGGAAACCCUGACGCAGCAACGCCGCGUGGAGGAAGAAGGCCUUCGGGUCGUAAACUCCUGUCUUUUGGGACGAUAAUGACGGUACCAAAGGAGGAAGCCACGGCUAACUACGUGCCAGCAGCCGCGGUAAU
rnacentral:rRNA from 1 species